UUGACCUCGGAUCAGGUAGGGAUACCCCCUGAAANUAAGCAUAU
rnacentral:rRNA from 1 species